GUCCGCUCACCAUUACCCUUAUCAUAGAAAAUGCCGUUUAUUUUCAUUUUUUCACAAAAUACUUAGUGCGUACCUCUUGUCAGCCAGGCACUCUUCUAAGGCUCUGGGGGGUUAGCAAUAAAGAGAACAGCCCCAAAUCCCUGCCCUUGAGGAGCCCAUGUUCUGGAGGGACCACUCCCCGGGCUCAGAGGAAGGCGCACAGCAGGGCCCCAGCUGUUGGUGCCGAGGUGGCAGGUGCAGAUGAUCCUGAUGCAGCCCAGCAGAGCCCAGCAGAGUCCAGGACGAGCUGCGAUCAUGCUGACUGGGAGACGGAAGCCCGAGCAGGCGGAGGAGCCGGAGAGGACUGAGGCAGGCGGAGGGAGGGGUGGGGUGUUCGCCUGGCCUUCCCUCCAAAGUCGCCUCCUUGUGUCUUUUCUGACCCACAGCAUCUUUUUUUGUUUUUACCACCCACUCAUCUCCGCCCUAAUAAGAAAGGGCGUGGACAUAUAAGAAGCUGUGCAGCUUUCAGCUUUCAGCUCAGAGGAGGCAAAGGUGCAACUUUCUUCAAUCGUCCCGAAUCCGGGUUCACCAGCCGCCUUCACCAUGCCGCCAAAGUUUGACCCCAACGAGAUCAAAGUCGUGUACCUUUUGCACUGGUGCACUGGUGGGGAAGUCCGUGCCAUGUCUGCCCUGGCCCCCAAGAUUGGCCCCCUGGGUCUAUCUCCAAAAACGGCUGGUGAUGACAUCACCAAGGCAACUGGUGAUUGGAAGGGUCCAAGUAUUACAGUGAAACUGACCAUUCAGAACAGACAGGCCCAGAUUAGGGUAGUACCUUCUGCUUCUGCCCUGAUCAUCAAAGCCCUCACGGAACCACCAAGAGAAAGAAGCAGCAAAACAUUAAGCACAGUGGAACCAUCACUUUUGAUGAGAUCGUCAGCACUGCCCAGCAGAUGUGGCAUCAGUCUCUAGAUGGAGAACUCUCUGGAACCAUUAAAGAGAUCACCCAGCCUGUGGGCUGCAAUGUUGAUGGCUGCCACCCUCAUGACAUCAUAGAUGACAUCAACAGUGGUGCUGUGGAGUGCCCAGCUAGUUAAGA